UCCUCCACCUGUUGCGGGCAGAUGAAAUGGAUAUGCGCGUCGAUCGCGCCUGCGGUCAGGAUCUUGCCCUCGCCCGCGAUGACCUCCGUGCCGGGGCCGAUGACGAUAUCGACGCCGUCCUGCACAUCGGGAUUGCCCGCCUUGCCGAUGGCGGCGAUCCGCCCGUCGCGCAGCGCGACAUCGGCCUUCACUAUGCCCCAAUGGUCGAGGAUGACGGCAUUGGUGAUGACGGUAUCGACCGCCCCCUGCGCGCGGGACAGCUGGCUCUGCCCCAUGCCGUCGCGGA
rnacentral:sRNA from 1 species